GGGAGCGUUAUCUCUUCAAUGCUUUGGUGAUUGUGUUAAUGUGGUUUGUUUUCUACAAUGGGUCACGGCAUGCAACUGAAUUCUACAAAAGGCAUCUGUGGUUAGGCACUGGAGUCGAAGGAUGAUGGGAUGGAAGAGUAGGCCUAUAUAUAUAUGGUGUCAUGUCUACCUCUAUUUGGAUAAUUACUUGGGAAUUCCUGCAGUUUGUAUUUAUCAUUUGUGUGUCAAGCGUAUGCAUUAACCAUUUACACUUGUUAUCUAAUCUUGAUUGUUAACAUAUUUCUCAGUUCAAGCCUAGGAAGAUGGGUGUUUUCCUUUA